rnacentral:lncRNA from 1 species
UAUAAGUCACCACCACCACCUCCUCCAGUGUACAAGUCUCCGCCACCUCCAGUCUACAAGUAUAAGUCACCACCACCUCCUUCCCCAAUUUACAAGUCACCACCACCACCUCCUCCAGUAUACAAAUCACCUCCACCACCUCCUCCAGUUUACAAAUCUCCACCACCACCAAUUUAUAAAUACAAGUCUCCUCCACUACCUCCUCCAGUGUACAAGUCAUCACCACCACCUGCUUACAAGUCUCCACCUCCUCCAGUUUACAGUUCCCCACCACCACCAAUCUACAAGUCUCCACCUCCACCCUACCAUUACUACUACAAUUCUCCUCCUCCUCCUCGUCACUACUAAGCAAUUGUAUCCAAGUUUUUGAGGUAAUAACGUUUAACCAAUAAAUUAACUUUCGCAUGAUAAACCUUAUCUCUAUCUAGACAAACUGCCAUGUGUAUAAUGCCAAAUACGUACACCUAGAUCCAUGAAAAUGAGUGGUAGAAAGUUUUCUUAAGAACCAAGGAACAGCAUUAGUAUUCCCUCUGCUUCCAAACACUUGUGUAUUAAAUAGAUUAAUGAAUUGUUUAACAUGCUCAUCUACUUGAAAAUGCACAAUACCCAUAACCCACUGAAAUUUUUGCAGGAAAAGGGAAAGAGAAUCUGUGUUUGAGAGCUUCAUGAAGAUGUUGAAGAAUAAGAAUAAAAGCCCAAUGCGAGGAUGUUUUCAAGUUUUUCUAUGUUUCCACUUUAAUUUGUAAAUUGAAUUUUGCGACUCAAUUAAUUCCCUGUUUGUGGGGUACGUAUUGUUUUACGUACCAUGCCGUACAUGUUUGUAAGGAUUUCUAUCCUAUUGGCAAAAGUCGGUUCCGUACAAUUAAUCAAUUCAUUUCACUUCUAUUGGCUCUACUAUUUAUGCAUGUUACGACAUUUUUUCUCUCUUUCCCUUAUAUUUUGCCUUUAAUAUUAUUGAGUCAAUAUUAAUAAUGGGCCUUUUUCUUAAAAUUAUACUAUUAUACAUAGGUAGUUUGGUCUAACGCUAAAUUCAUGUUUGUCUUUCUUUUAUUCCCUUUACAUCUCAAAGUAUACUAUAGUUUGUAAUCAUUGUGGUGAUGAUAUUACCAGCUGGUACUUAUAGUUUAAGGCAGAGACAUGAUAUUAACAACUAUCUCAUUGAAACAUAAGGAAAAAUCAUGACAAGUGUGAGUCUUGGUUAAUGCACAAUUUGUUAGUGGAAUUUAUAUUUAUAAAACUCAAAAAAAAUUUUUGACAAUGCUAUUACUAAUUAAUUAAGGACUUUAUUGCUAUAACUUAUCGCUUACUAGUUUAAACUAUAAAUGAUCUCAAUACUUUUCUCCAUGAUGUCGAUUUCUUUAGACUACGAAAGGGAAAAAUUAGUGACAUAUCCUCUACUGAUUACAACAUCAGCAAAAAUUAGUUAUAAACUUUUCCGGUGGUUUUAAAUCCCUCGGGCCCUAAGAUUUUUUGCUCAUCGAGUGAAUUAAGGAACAUAGGCAAUUCGUUCUACAUACCAAGUCCUUGUUUAAGAUGCAAGUACUAAAAUGCAUCCACUUCAUUAAUUUGGGAAAUUGCCAUAGUUUUUUUUAAGCAUUUUGAUUUUUUACAUGAUUCAAAAUUUUCUGAUUGGAUACAAUCACUUUGUAUCAAGAACACAUUUUCAAUCACCUUUUUUUAUCUUCUCAAUAAGAAAAUAAAAAUUUAUUCAUGCUUUUCUAACAUAUUCAAUCAUUGAUCUGAAAAUUAAAACAUUAAAAAAAAAGGACAUUUUCAAUCACUGCUUACAGGGCAACUUCCCCAUGUGAACCUCUUCAAACAAAGCCAAUAAUAUGAAGGAAUAUCUAAAUAUACUUUUGCCCUAAAGGCUGGUUGCCUUGGGGUCAAAAUUUAACCUUCCGGAGUAUAAUUACCCUGCCAAAUUUAUUUUUUUUUUAUGGGUAUAUAGUUCCAAUUUUGCCUCCUGUUAAGCUUAUAAAUAUAUUAUCACCCAGAAAAUAAAGGAAUCUUGAAUACUAACAUGUCCAUUGACUUGAGUUGUCAUCAAUUUGGCUACUUCGAUUCCAUGAGGCCAAUCCAAUUCACACUAGCUAGAGAAAAUGGUGACAAAGGCACUUAGAAAAUUAUAUGUAAUAUUGAUUGGUAGUAACCAGCUUGUAUUGAUUGGUAGUAACCAGCUUGUGCUCUUAUGAAAAAAAAAUUAGCAAAAUUUAUGAGAACAAUUAAAUUUAUUCGUACAAAUCAGUCAAAGAAGUAGUAUUUUAAAGACCGUGAUGAAAUUAAUACUUUCAAGGUUUCUAUUAGGAAGACUUCCUUUGUUGGUGAAACUACACUAGGCAGAGUUAUAUGGUAUCAAAAAAUAGUUGUAUUCACGUCUGUUCUUUUUUUCUUCCUUAAGUUUUUUUCUUUAUUCUCGUGACUUCAAAAAUACGAACUCAAGAAAUUGGCUGCUCAAUCAGUAUGUCAUACAGGCUUCGCUAGUGAGGUAUAACUUCACAACUAGAGCCAAUAGAAAUCGUCAAAUGAUUUUUUGACAUCCAAAUUAAGCAAUAAAUUUUGUUUUCAUUUCAUAACAUAUAAUAGUACUACUUCAUGGGAGAUUUUAUAGUUUCUUUAGGGUAUCAUACCUACAAGUGAUAUUUGUCAUUGGAUAGUGAAAGAAGUGUUAAUGACUGUAAGAUUAAAUAUUGUUAAAUAUUGAAAAUUUAAACUAUUUAUCUUUAUUGAGAGAUACAACUUAAAGAAUCCUACCCAAAAGAGACUAUAGAAUUUUCUCUGUUUUUCAUCAUCUGUAGACAUAAAUUUUGCCUAUACAAUGUGAUAGCAUUUUUUCAAAAAGACAAGAUGGAAAAUUGCCCCCCUUGAACGGAAAAUUGCCCCCUUGUCAAUUCUUUAAAAAAGAAUACUCGCUCCUGAACAUAGCCUGUUCAUCUACACUGUCCCGCAGAAUUCUAGAAAGUUAGGCAAAACUAGACUAGUUGACAGGUAUAAUCAUACCCAACAUCAGGAACAAGCAGUUGCACAUUUCAAAAUUCGCUGCUGCAACAACUAAUUUGAUGACUUACAACACUACACGGUCAAACUUUGAAUGGCAAUGGAUCUUUUGAUGUAAUUUUCAUGUUACAUACAUUAAUAGAUUGAUAUCUAUAUUCUUUAAAUUAUCGUAAUAAUACUCUUAAUUACAUUUAAUUGAUAAAAAGAACACGUGUCAACACACAAAAAUGUGUAAUGUGAAUGUUACAUUAGUGUAUAGCAGAAGACCUAUAGUCUCUUCACAUCUCUUCCUGCACGUAUCAAUUCGUUUCCUCUAGAUAAUAAUCUCCCAACUCAUUUCUUUACAAAUGCACCUUUUAUGUUUUAUUACCUCCAAAAGCCUUUACAGGGUCUUUACCCUAAAAAUCAAUUCACCGACUCGCAUUUGAUAUCAGAAAUUCUUAUUACGAAUUCUACUUUACUCAAAGAUUGACUGUUAAUAAUGAGACAACGACCAUUUUGUAUUAUUACACCGUCCUUCUUGAUAGGCAAAAGAAAUAGAGAGGAAAGCGGGUCCGUAUAUGGUCUUUUAUUCAUAGAUAAUACAACAUUACGCCAUCGAGCAUUCACACAAUAUUUCAAAGUCAUUGCAUGCCUAAGACCCUGUUUGAUAAUCCAAUUCCAUACUUAAAUUUAAUGGAUUUAAAUCUUAACACAUUCAAAUCGUUUGAUAACAAAAAAUUGAACAUUUAAAUUAAUUAAGUAACACUGGAUUUCCAAGACAAAACUUGCUCCCAAAAUUAAGUGAUAAGUGAAUAACUUAUCACUGAAUGUAUGUAUUAGAUUUAAUACUUAAUAAUUUAAUAAUUUAAUGAAUUCAGAUUUCAGAUUUCAGAUUUCAGAUUUCAGUUUUCAGUUUUAUCACACACACCCUAAGUUACAAAUUAAUACCAAAACUUGUUAUUAUAUAGCUUGAGAUUCAAAAAUUUAGAGCAUAAUUCUCAACCUAACACAAUUGAAUAAUGAAUAUUCACGAUUGUCAAAACUAUCAAAGUACAAUUUGAGGACAACCCAUUCCAACGCGUACACGAUUUUUAACUUUUCUAAAGUUGUUGAGAGCUGUUGAAAGAGAUUUACCAUGUUUACAUCUUCCAAGUCUUGGGAGUAAAAAAUGAAGCCACUGAGUGCUAUAAAAAGGGGGCUAGAGGCUGCCUAGAAGCAUAUCAGCCUAAAACAAGAAUUUGUAGUAACAAUGGGGAGCAAAGCAAAAGCAACGGAGUCUAGGCUGACUCCUCUUCUUACCACUGUUUUAGUGGUAUUUGUUGCCCUUGGCUUGCCCUUGGAAACUGCAGCUGAUUAUUACAAGUAUUCAUCUCCUCCUCCUCCUCCUUACCACUAUUCCUCACCACCACCUCCUGAGUAUUCACCUCCACCAACCCCUGUUUAUAAGUUACCCCCACCAUCUCCUCCAGUUUACAAGUCCUCACCGCCACCUUACCACUACUCACCACCUCCGGUGUAUUCACCUCCACCAUCACCAGUUUACAAGUCACCGCCACCACCCCCUCCAGUAUACAACUCCCCGCCUCCACCAGUGUACAAAUACAAGUCCCCACCGCCACCUCCUCCAGUUUACAAAUCUCCACCGCCACCAAUUUACAAGUACAAGUCACCCCCACCACCUCCUCCGGUAUACAAGUCUCCUCCGCCACCUGUUUACGAGUACAAGUCUCCUCCACCACCUCCUCCAGUGUACAAGUCUCCACCACCUCCAGUUUACAAGUACAACUCACCACCACCUCCUCCCCCAGUUUACCAAUCUCCACCACCACCAGUUUACAAAUACAACUCACCACCACCUCCUCCCCCAGUUUACCAGUCUCCACCUCCACCCUAUCAUCACUACUACGGUUCUCCUCCUCCUCACCACUACUAAGCAAGUGCAUCUAAGUUUUGAGGUAAUAAUACCUAUCCAAAACUUUAUCAACACAAACUGCCAUGUAUAUCAUGCUAAGGACGUACACUUGAUCCAUGAAAAUGACUUGUAGAAGAUUUUUUUUAAGAACCAAAGAAAUACAUUAUUUUUUCGGUCUGUUUUCAAGAAUUUGAGCAGUAUACAGAUUAAAGAGUGUUUUUUUUUUUAAACUUGCUUAUCAACUUAGAAAUGCACAUAGCUGAAAGCCAACUGAAUAUUUGCAGGCAAAGGAGAAGACAAUCGGUGUUUGCGACCUUCAAGAAGAUGUAGAAGAAUAAGAAUAAAAGCCCAAUGCGAGGAUGAUUCCAAGUUUCUACGUUACCAUUUCUACAUCUAAAUUGACUCUAGCUCCUGAGUUCCAUGUUUAUGGGGUUUGUACCGUUUUACGUACCAUGCAGUGCAUGCUUGUAAGGUUUUCUGUCCUGUUGGCAAACUGCAGGUCCAUAUAAUAAAAGAAUACUAUUUAUAUUACGACACUUUUCUCUCUUUCUCUUAUAUUUUGUCUUUAAUAUUGUUGAUCAUUUUUUUUUAUUUAUCAAAAGUAUCAAAUGUUUAGGUAAUUUGGUCUAAUGCUAAUUGUUUUACUUCUCUUUUUCACCUACACCCCUUUUCAACUCAAAGGAUGCUAUAGUUUGUGAUAAUUGUUUAAGACCGAAGCAUGAUACUAAUAAAUAUCUCAUUGAAAGUCAAGGAAACUAACAUUAUGAAAAGUGUAAAUCUUGAUUUGAUGAAACUAUUUAUUCGUGGAAUUUAGAGAUACAAAACUCAAAUUGUGACGGUGCUGUUGCUAAAUUAUUAAGGACAUUAUCACCACUAUUUUUCCCUUACUAGUUUCAACUGCAAUGAUCUCAAUCUUUUUGUGACUAAUUCUUUUCUUAAUAAUUUAUAAAUACAAAACUCACAAAGAAUAUGUGACUAAUUCUUUCCUUUCGUCUUCUAAAGAAAAUGGCAACUGUUAGUUUAUCAAGGGAAAAAGGAUCGACAUCAGUUGUUAUUGAAACUAGUAAGGAAAAAAUAAUGGUGAUAAUGUCCUUAAUAAUUUAACAACAGCACCAUCAGAAUUUGAGCUUUGUAUCUAUAAAUUCCACGAAUAAAUAGUUUCAUCAAAUCAAGAUUUACACUUUUCAUAAUGUUAAGUUUCCUUGACUUUCAAUGAGAUAUUUAUUAGUAUCAUGCUUCGGUCUUAAACAAUGAUCACAAACUAUAGCAUCCUUUGAGUUGAAAAGCGAAGUAGGUGAAAAAGAGAAGUAAAAAAUACAAUUAGCAUUCCCUCAAAUCGUAGAAAGUUAGGUAGCAUUAUAGACAAGUUGAUAGCCGUAAUGAUACUAAAAAUCAGGCAAAAGCCAGCAAUUUUACAUUUCAAAAUUCACCUAUCCAAUAACUAAUUCGAUGGCUUGCUACAUGGUCAAUCUUUGGACCCCUUCCUGCCACCACAUAUCCCUUUCCUCAAUCAGGGGCUUCUACAAUUACCAGUUCCAAUUGUAUGGUAUAGUGUAAAUAUCAACAAAUCAGAUGUAGACGCUAAUUUAAUAAAUGUGGAUGCUAAGACAACAACAUACAAAAACAUAAUAAAUUUUGGCAUUCCUUAAAAAAAUUAAGUCCCCAAAUCAAUCUCAUACACCCAAUUUCUAAUUUAAUUUAACCCAUUCCCUCUAUUAACUACACCAUACAAUACAAUCGAACCCAUUCCCUUCUAAUUUCUUCACAAAAUGCACCUUUCAUCACCGACAUGAUCUUUACCCUAGAAGACUAUUCACCGACUCUCCAUUGACGUCAGAAAAUCUAAGAGUAAUUCUACUUUACCCUAAGAUUGAUAUCAACGAGACAAUAAUGACAAUUUAGAAUUAUUACACGCCUCUUCUUAAUAGGAAAAAGAAAUACAGAAGAAAGUCAGGCCAGGUCUAAUUCUUUUUCAAAGGCAAUACAAUAUUACGAAAUCAAGCAGUCAUUCAUACAAAUAUUUCAUAGUCACCGGCCGGGGUUUGCUGAGUAGAAAAGUUUAUACAAAAACUUAAUAUUAUAUUGUUUAAGAGUUAACAAUUUAGAGCUUAAUCUCCUUGUACUUUGGACUAAACUCGAACGUGAAAGGAAAUCCCAAAACCAUAUUGGGCAUGAAUUCACACUUAAUAGACCCAAAAGAAGAUGGCGACUGGUGAAAGGCAGUGGAGACUGGUGGAGAGAUUUGAGGAAUAGAAGCAGACGGAAAAGCAACAAAUUUUUGCCGAAAAACGGUCACUUUCAUGGUUAAUUUUGCUACUCUCUAAUUGUACUUGACCAAAUACAACAAUUUCAUGGAGUUUGAUACACAAGCCCAAAUACACGAGAGUGUGUAACCUGAAUUGUUACUUAUACAUUAGUGUGUAAUAGAACGGCAAGCAUUAUGGUGGUCAUUGAGCAACUUAUAGAAGAAAUAGUCCUAUAAGCUGUUCGAUGACCAAUCGCAACUUGCUAAUUGGAUGACUAAUAUAGCUCUAGCUGUAAUGUUUUAAUUAAAUUCCAUCACUAACGUUGGGAUGACUUUUUAACCAAAAAAAAAAAAAAAGCCUUAGUUCAAGCUUUUCCCCUUAUUGUGCAUUUUUUAAAACAUUUGAUAGGCACUGCAAAUCUGUCAUUUUGGACAUCAACCCAUAUCCAACACAAGAUUAAAUUAAUAUUAGAAAAAAUUAUUACGUAAUUGGAAAAAAAAAAAGAAGAGACUAAUUUUCAUUGAAACCCACCGACAAACUAAGCGUGUCCAUAGCUUUUGAUUAGUUCAUUGCCGAUCACAUGGAGUAAAGAUUGUGCUCUUUCCCUUUCCCCCCCUUUUGGAAUCGAUACUGUGGAGAAUUGGCUUUUUCCCUCCUUUUUUUCUUUUCUUUUCUUUUCUUUCCUUCUGUACUUUGCAAAACAUAGGUAAAAAUAUGAAAUCCGAAGCAUUCUUUAAUUGGGAUUAAGUAUUGUUCUUGAAAUUAAAAAAAAAAAGAAAGAAAGAACAACAAAAAUCCCAAUCUGGGUUGAUUGUUGAGCUCUAGAUUGGCUGCAUCGUGCUUCCAUAGAAGUUCUCUUAGUGUGAUACGCUGCUUUCAAUCAGUUUUAACACGGGAAAAAGAAAAGACAUGAAAAGCAAAUUUUGUGGGGAUAAUUUCGGUAACCUCCCCUGAAGUUUUUGACUAUUUUACUGGCCUCCCUUCAGAUUUUAAAAAUUGCACUAAUCUUCCUUAAAGUUAAUUAUCUUGUAACAUUUAGAUCCAAUCAAUAAUUUAAAAAAUGAUAUUAUGAGAGAGAAAAUAAUAUGAUUUUAUCAUUGCCCCCAUCUUACUACAUUAUUUAAUUAAUUUAAUAGCAACCCACACAUUAAAGAAAAAUGCAAAAAUUUGUUGUUUAUCAUUAAAGAUCAUCAUAUCGCAUAUAACAUCAAAAAAUAGUAUAUUAUUUAUAUUUUUCACUUAAUAUAAUAUCCAAAUUACUCUUUUCAGUUACAUACCCAUUGUUAGACAAAAUCAACAACAAAUAACCAAAAAAUUUGCAACCAAAAUAUUACAAAAAAAUAAACUUUAACAUCAUAAAUAUUUUUAUCAACAUAUUAAAGUUAGUUAUUGAAAUUUUUAUGGUGUUAAACUUCACUCUUUGUAAUAUUUUGGUUACAGAUUUUUUUGAUUAUUUGUUGUUGAUCGUGUUUGACAAUGGAUUUGUAACUGAAAAGAACAAUUUGGAUCUUACAUUAAGUGAAAUAUAUAAAAAUAUUAUACUAUUUUUUAUGGCAUAUGUGAUUCUUUUUUUUUUUUUUUUUUUAUCAGAACGGCAACAUUGUAUUAAUAGUAAACCAAUUACAGUAUAGGUGGGCAACCGCCCUCACAAUCUGCCUGGACUUGUUCCAGCAGCCAAACUGGGAAGUUUUCCUUCCAUUCAGUAUUUUGUUCCAAAGUAAUAGCUACUUUAGCUAGUUUAUGGCUAACAAAGUUGUUCACCCUAUUUGCAAAGGUAAAACAACAUUCAUCAAAUUUUAUUCAUGUACAAUUGUUGCUAUCACCACGUCCUCCUCCUCCUCCUCACUGCACACUACUUGACUACCACCCUUCGCCAACCUUGCUGUUGCAUGUGCAACUAUCAUGGCCUCUCUUAGCGCCUUUGCUUCUUCGACCUUUGGACUGGCACAGCUAAAAUUUGGAACAGCCCAGGCCCACCCGCAAUCUUCCCAACCAAUCCCUGGCCACCCUUUUCCCACCCAGCUUCUAUGGCAUGUGUGAUUCAAUCCUUCUUGAUAGGAUUGGUAAUAGAGGCAGAGGGGGGAGCCGGCUGCAUCCGGUCUACUUUUCAUAGAUAGUACAAUAUUGCGAAAUCGAUCGCAUUCACACAAGAAUAUUUCGAAGUCAUUGCAUCGCUAAGUUGCAAAAAAGUACAAACACUUGUUAUUAUAUAGCUUAAGAUUCAAAACUUUAGAGCACAACCCUCCACCUAACACAAUUGAAUAAUGAAUAUUCACGAUUGUCAAAUCUGUCAAAGCACAGUUUGAGGACAACCCAUUCCAACCUGCAAAAGAUUUUUGACUUUUUUAAAGUUGUUGAGAGCUGUAAAAAGACUUACCAUGCUUACAUCUUCCGAGCCUUGGGAGUUAAAAAUGAAGGCACUGAGUGCUAUAAAAAGGGGGCUAGAGGCUGCCUAGAAGCAUAUCAGCCUAAAACAAGAAUUUGUAGUUAUGAUGGGAAGCAAAGCAAAAGCAAUGGGGUCUGGGCUGACUCCUCUUCUUACCACUGUUUUAGUGGUAUUUGUUGCUCUUGGCUUGCCCUCAGAAACUGCAGCUGAUGAUCACUACAAGUAUUCAUCUCCUCCUCCUCCUUACCACUAUCCCUCACCACCACCUCCAGUGCAUUUACCUCCACCAGUGUACAAAUACAAGUCCCCACCACCACCUCAUCAUGUUUACAAGUACAAAUCUCCACCACCCCCACCACCACACCCAGUUUACAAGUAUAAGUCGCCACCACCACCUCCUCAUCCGGUAUACAAGUACAAGUCUCCUCCGCCACCUCCUCAUCCGGUACCACACCCAGUUUACAAGUAUAAGUCACCACCACCACCUCCUCAUCCGGUACCACACCCAGUUUACAAGUAUAAGUCUCCUCCGCCACCAGUUUACAAAUAUAAGUCUCCUCCACCACCACCUCCAGUGUACAAAUACAAGUCUCCACCACCACCAGUUUACCACUACAAGUCUCCACCACCUCCUCCCCCAGUUUACAAAUACAAGUCUCCACCACCACCAGUUUACCACUACAAGUCUCCACCACCUCCUCCCCCAGUUUACAAAUACAAGUCUCCACCACCACCACCACCAGUUUACCACUACAAGUCACCACCACCUCCUCCCCCAGUUUACAAAUACAAGUCUCCACCACCUCCUCACCACUACUAAGCAAUUGCUUCUGAGGUAAUAACACUUGUUCAAUAUACACACUUCUGCAUGAUAAAACAUAUCUCUAUCAACACAAACUGUCAUGUCUAUCAUGCUAAGUGCCUUCACUUCAUCCACGAAAAUGACUGCUAGAAAAUUUUUUUUUAAGUUACCAAAGAAAAGCAUCAUUUUUUCCCUCUGUUAUCAAGAACUUGUACAGUAUGUAGAUUAAAGAGUUUUUAUUUUAACUAGCUUAUCAACUUAGAAAUGCAUAUAACUGAUAGCCAGCUGAAUAUUUGCAGGCAAAGGAGAAGGAAACCAGUGUUUGGACCUUCUUGAAGAUGUAGAAGCAUAAGAAUAAAAGCCCAAUGUGAAGAUGAUGAUUUCAAGUUUUUCUACGUUACCAUUUCUAUAUCUAAAUUCGUUGUAGCGCCUUAGUUCCUUUGUUUAUGGGAUUUGUAUCGUUUUACGUACCAUGCAGUACAUGUCAUGUUUGUAAGGUUUUCUAUCCUGCCGGCAAAUCGCAGGUUCCAUGUAAUAAAUCAAUACUAUUUAUAUUACGACACUUUUCUCUGUUUCUCUUAUAUUUGUUUGGAUUGAGCUUUAUUUCCCCAAAUUUAUUUGCUUACAUCAUCAUUACAAUUUCUAAUACACCUUUUUACCUUCCCGAUUACCUUUUUAUCUCACAUACAUCACAUCACAAAAAGUGCUACAGUAAAAAUAUCUCUAAUAAUUCACAAUCCAAACAGACUUUUGUCUUUAAUAUUCUUAAUCAUAUUUUUAACAAAAAUAUUCAAAUACUUAGGUAAUCUGGUCUAAUGCUAAUUGUAUGUUUUACUUUUCUUUUUCACCUGCUCCCCUUUUCAACUCAAACGGAUGCAAUAGUUUGUGAUCCCUGUUUAAGACGGAAGCAUGAUACUAAUGAAUAUAUCAUUGAAACUCAAGGAAACUAACAUUAUGAAAAGUGUAAAUCUUGAUUUGAUGCAACUAUUUAUUCGUGGAAUAUAUAGUUACAAAACUCAAAUUCUGACUGCGCCAUUGAUAAAUUAUUAAUGACGCUAUCAUCAUUAUUUAUCCCUAACUAGUUUCGACUACAACUGAACCCAAUAUUUUCCCCAUGAUAAAAGUUUUUGACUAUUUUACUGGCCUCUCUUCAAAUUUUAAAAAUUACACUAAUCUUCAUUGAGAUUAAUUAUCUUGUAACAUUUAGUUCCGAUCAAGAAUUUAAAAAUGAUAUUAUGAGAGAAAAAAUAAUAUAAUUUUAUCAUUGCCCCCCAUCUUGCUAUAUUAUUUAAUAAAUUUAAUAGCAACCCACACAUUAAAGAAAAAUACUAAAAUUUGCUACUUUUCAUUAAAGAUCAAAUUGCAUAUGCCAUAAAACAUAGUAUAUCAUUCUAUGUGUUUCACCUAAUGUAAGAUCCCAAUUGUUAUUUUCAAUUACAAACCCAUUGUCAAACAUGAUCAACAACAAAUAACCAAAAAAUUUGCAACCAAAAUAUUACAAAAAAAAAUAAACUUUAACAUCAUAAAUAUUCUUACCACCUCCAGUGCAUUCACCCUCACCAACCACUAGUUUACAAGUCACCCCCACCACCUUACCACUAUUCCUCACCGCCACCCACAGUGCAUUCACCUCCACCACCACCUGUUUAUAAGUCACCUCCACCACCUUAUCAUUAUUCGUCACCACCAUCUGCAUUGCUUUCACCUCCAUCAUCACCAGUUUACAAAUCACCACCACCAUCUUCCCCAGUGUACAAGUCCCCUCCACCACCAAUUUACAAGUCUCCGCCGCUAUGUCCCCCAGUAUAUAAGUCAUCCCCACCACCGCCUCCAAUGUACAAGUCUCCGCCGACACCAAUCUACAAGUACAAUUCACCACCACCCAUGCCUCCAGUUUACAACUCCUUGCCACCACCUAUUUACAAACACAAGUCUCCCCCACCACUUCCUCCGGUAUACAAGUCAUCUCCACUGCAUCCUCCAAUUUAUGAGUCUCCUCGUCCACCAGUUUACGAGCACAAGUCUCCUCCACCGCCUCCUCCAGUAUAUAAGUCACCACCACUAUCUCCUCCAGUACAUGUCUCCACCACCGCCUAUUUACAAAUCUCCGCCUCCUCCAGUUUACAAUUCCCCACCACCACCAAUAUACAAGUCUCCACCUUCAUCCAACCAUUACUACUAUAAUACUCCUCCUCCUCCUUCGCACUACUGAGGAAUUGCAUCCAAGUUUUGAGGUAAUAACGCGUAACCAGUAUAAACUUUUGUAUGAUAAACCUUAUCCCGAUCAACACAAACUGCCAUGUGUAUCAUGCUAAGUACGUACGCUUAGAUCCAUGAAAAUGACUAGUAGAAGGUUAUCCUAAGAACCAAGGAACAUUAGUUUUCCCUCUGUUUCCAAAAACUUGUGUUUGUUUAACAUGCUUAUCAACUUGGAAAUGCGCAUUGCUAAUAGCCAACUGAAAUUUUUGCAGGCAAAUUGGGAAGAGAAUCAGUGUUUGAGCGGUUCAUGGAAGAAUAAGAAUAAAAGCCCAAUGCGAGGAUGUUCUCAAGUUUAUUAAUGUUUCCGUUCUAUUUUGUAAAUUGAUUUUUGCGACUUAAUUAAUUCCCUGUUUGUGGGGUUCGUGUUGUUUUACCUACAUGCCAUACAUGUUUGUAAUGAUUUUUAUUGCAAAAUGCCGGUCCAAUAAAAUAACUGUAUUCAUUUUGUGUCUUUUGAGUAAACUUCUAUUGGUUCUACUACUUAUUUUACGAUAUUUUUUUUCUCUCUUUCUCUUACAUUUUCCGUUUAAUAUUAUUGAUAAUUUUUUUAACAAAAAAGGUUGAUAUACUUAGGUAGUUCACUAGUUUGGUCUAAUCCUAACUUCAGGCUUGUCUUGUCUUUUAUCUCUACAUACCUUUUCAACUCAAAGGAUGCUACUAUAAUUUGUGAUCAUUGUAGUGGUGAUAUUCCGAGCUAUUACAUAUAAUUUAAGGCAGAGAUUUGAUCCUAGCGAGUAUCUCACUGACAGAUUAGGAAACAUCAUGAAAAGCGUAUAUCUUGAAUUAGUGCAACUAUUUCUUAGGGGAAUUUAUAGUUACAAAAUUCCAAAUUUUGAGAUUCUAUUACUGAUUAAUUAAGGACGUUAUCACUAUUUUUUUUUAAUUAUCACCAUUAAAUACCCCACAUACUAUAAGUUUUUUUAGGGCACAGGAAAAGAGGUGGGCCGAUGUUUAGUUAUCUACAAAAGUUCAAAUUUUGUAGAUAAAUUAUCAUGCGCCCUUAAAGAGUGCAGAAUACCAAAAAAAAAAAAAAAAAAAAAUCAUAUACUAUAACUAAUCCUAAUAUUUUUCCCUACGAUAAACUAACUCUUAUCCAUUUCUUUAGAUGAUGAAAGGAAAUAGUUAGUCACAUAUCCUCUAGUGAUUACAACAGCAUCAAAACAAAUUAGCACUCUUUUCCCGUAGUUUAAAAAUCCCUCAGCCACUAAGAUUUUGCAUAUCGAACGAAUUAAGGAACAUAGGCGCUUCGUGCUGGACAACAGUGUCCUUGUUGACGAUGCAUCCGCAUAUACUUCCUUAAGCAUUUUGAUUAUUUUAUGAUUCGAAUUUUUCUUGUCUGACAGCUGGACUUAAUUGAAAAACUCAAGUAAUAAUAUUCCAAAGCUGAUUCGUCAAAGUUUACCCAAUUGGUGAAACUUUCUUAAUAGAGCUGACUUUGUAUUACGUGACAAUGAUAUGGAUGCUCAAAGUUUUCAAUGGGAAAUUUAUAUGAGCUUUUCACGACAAAAUGUGUUCCGAUAAAGGUUCAUUCCAGAGGUUAAAAUUUUGUUUGUUAAAAAUUUACUUCUCAAGUCUUUGAUGCGAAAGUCUUGGUAUUUCCAAAAAGUCUUGAAAUCGCAGCAUAUAAGCCACUUUCUGUUCUCUUUUUUUCAUUGAAGUCUUUCCAAAUGUCAGUUCCAAAAGGAGUUUUUUAUGAAUUAUGAUAGAUAAUUAAUCUGACGGUCCAUAUAUAUGUGAUUUGCAAGAGGGUGUUUGGCGAAAUGGUUAGGCUUUCUAAGUAAUGAUAGGAAUGCCAUUUGCAAAGAAGGACAGGGGGCCUGUGCUGUCAUAUUUUAUGCGAUUUGAUCCGUUGUUGUAUAAGUUUAAAUUUUUGACGUGCAAUUGUGCUACAAUAUUAUACUAAAUAUAUGUGUGAAAUAUUUUGUCUAUAUACAUCACUUUUAUCGUGAAUACAACAGCUGAGUAUAAUAAUAUAAUAUAAUGUAAUUAUACACCAAAUAAUGUAACAAAUAUAACAAUCGAUCUGAAUUACACGAAAUCAUAACAACAAGAUCACCGCCUCCCAAAUUUUACAAAAUAAGGUUUUUUUUUUCUUUUAGAUUAUUGAAAAUUUUCAAAAAUAUUCUACAUAAUUUAAAUUUUUGUCCUACAAAAAUUAAAAGAGAUUUUAUAUUGCACGCUUAAGCUUAGAUAUAUUAAAGUUUGCCCCCAAGAUUAAUUUUCCGUUUUUAUCUAUGGUUUCUCAUCUAUGAGCCGAUCCAUAUAGCUAGUUAGACUGUACUCCUCACAUUUGUGGGAUUUGACACCCAAGAUUCUCCUUCUUGGAAUGUAAAAUGUAGAUCUUCUAUGUUAAUAAUUCAGGACCCAACUGUCAUAAACGAAAUGACUGAUCAACUCCUGUAAAUCUAAUUUAACAACAUUUAAAUGGAGAACUUUAGCUAAAAGAAUUAUGGUUAUUUUCCAACAUAUGCAAUCAUUGAUCAGAAUAUAUAUAUAUAUAUGUAAAAGACAUCUUCAGUCAUUUCAUAGCUUACCAGGCAAAUUAACCCCUAAGUGAACCUCUUCGAACAGAACUGACAAUAUGGAUGAAGAUCUGGAUAUUCUUUUAUCCUGACUCCUAAGGGAAAACUGGUUGAUCUAGAAUCAAAAUUUUACCCUAGUUACCCAGGCAACUUUUUUGUUGCCUUUUUUUUUUUUGGUAUAAAGCUCCAAUUUUGCUCCCUCUGUUAAGCUUAUAAUGCAUAUAAUUAUUAAGAUAAUAAAAGUGCCUUGAAUAGUAUUAAUAUAUGCAUUGACUUGAGCUGUCAUCAGUUCGGCCACUUCGAUUCCAUGAGGCCUUUUCAAUUCACACUAGCUAGAAAAUGGGGAGUCGUGAAAACCUUUUGUUCUAUUCAUUGCUAAGAUGCUUUUCUCUAUAAAGAGACUUCCUAACGAAAAUACUUUGUAGAUUUCUUUACUCCAAGUGGUGCAUGAAAAAUUAAUAUUUUCAAUUAACAAAUAAAAUUCCCUUUUUUUGGUGUAGAUUUCAUCCAUCCAGCUGUUAACACAUUCUAUAAAUCCGAAUUGACUAAUCUUUUCAUUUCCAUUUUCCAACUUGCGAAUACGGCAUCUUAUAUAAUGUCUGCUAAACACUAUAUAUUCUCUGCCAAAUAUGAAUACAUAUCACUUUUCUGAGCAAGUGCAGAGUCAUUAUCAUUUUUAUUCCCACAUAACAAAUUAGUGGUUGAGCAUCUUUACAUGCUAUCAGGUCACAAGUUAAUAAUCUUUUAAAGAACAUGUUAAAUUAAUUUAUUGGUAUGAAUAGUCAAAGAAGUAUGUUAAAGUUAGCAAUCUUUAAAAUAAUAUGUUAAAAUCAUUAGUACAAAUUAGUCAGAGAAGUAGCAUAAACACCACGAUGCAAUUAAUACUUUCAAUCUCAAGGUCUCUCUUACGGAAAUUUGCAUCGGUCAACAUACACAAAGCAUAAUUGUAUGCACGUCUCUCUAUCAUGGAAUUUGCAUAGGUCAAUAUACACUUGGCAUAGUUGAUAGUUGUAUGCGCGUAGGCAUGGCCAUGGUUCCAUUUGGAACUGGGAAUCAGACCGAAACCGGAUCGUUUGGAACCAGAUCAGAACCGGAAUCAAAACCAUGAAACCAGAACCGUGAUAGAACCUUGGAUAAAGGUUCCGGUUCUGGUUCUCUAAAAAAUAGAACCAGAACCAGAACCGUUAAAAAUAAUUAAUAUAAGUGGUGAGAUAAUUCAAAAAAAAUUAGUUGUGUUUAAUAGGUUUUAAGAAAGUUUAAAUUUUAUGGACUUUCUAUAUAUUUUAUUAAUUAUUUAAUUCUUUCUAUUCAUCUAAUAUUUAUCAUUAUAAUUUGCAAGUAUUAAAUUAUUACUUAAAAUUUUUUUUUUUUUUUGCUUAUUUGCUAUCAAAUGACAAGUUUUGAUGGUAGUAGCUCAUCUUCAAAAUCAAGCAAGCAAAAAAAUAUUUUUUGCAAUAUUUCUUCAAAUGGAAUCUUCAACAUUGAUGAUUGUCCAACUCAAGAAAGUCAACAUAUGACAACCAUUUGAUAGUGUAAUGUAUUUUUUAAUUUGACAAUGUAAUGUACUUUUCAUAAAAUUUAUAUUAUCUAUUUAUUACUUCUUACUUUGUAGAAUAAUAAUAAAAUUAAAAUAUGAUCUUUAUUUUGUAUUUAUUUUUUUACGUUUUAUUUGAAAUUUUAAAUAUAUUGUUAUAUUCGUAUUAAAAUUGGUAAGGAUAAGGAAUUAAAUAAAAUUGUAUAUAACCAUACAGAACCGGAAACCGGAACCAGAACUAUAAGGAACCAAAAUCAGAACUAUGCGGUUCUGGUUCUACCUCUUUGAAGAACCAGAACCAGAACCAUUUUAUAUGGUGCGGUUCUGGUUCUACCUUUUUUAAGAACCAGAACCGGCGGUUCUAGAACCGUGGUCAUGCCUAUAUGCACGUCUUUUAUUUUAUUUUAUUUUAUUUUUUGGUACUGUUCUUCCUUGCUUUAUAGUAUGCACGUUUAUUUCUUUGGAUUGCUUAAGAUUAUAUUGUUAAUAAUAGGGCAUUUAACCAUAAAUUAUAAUAAUUAUGAAGUAAUAUAUAUUAGAAAAUUAACACAAUUAUGAUUUUUUUUUUUUGUAAAUUCAAAUUUUAUUAAUAAGAAAUGAAAUAGACCGUAAGCAAAAACAAAAUCCUACAACAACUCUAGGACUCUACACCUUAUAUAAAAAAAAACUAGGACUCUAUACCUCAGAGAAGCUAAACAAUCCAACAAAUAAAAUGCAAAAUAAAUCACAAUAACGCAAAUUAUGUUAAGCUAAUAAAUACUACCAUGCAACAAAAUUUUUGUCUUUGUCCCGCGUGAAACUACGAAGUCAAGAAUUGACUCCUUUAACCAGUAUUGCCAGCGGGGCUCCGUCAGCAAGAUACAACUUUGCAAUUUUAUACAAUAGAAAUCCUCAAAUAGCUAUUUUGACAGGCAAAUUAAGCAUUAAUUUUGGUAUCCCUUCAUAAAAUACAAGAGUACUUUUGAUUAUAUCUAUAGAUCAACUUUCUAGGCUUGAUGUAUUAUAAGAAAAAUCUGCCUAAACAUUUUGAUAGCAUUUUUCCAAAAGCAGAAGAUGGAAAAUUGCCCAUUUGUAAUGGGGAGUUCGUGAUCUUUUCCUCAUUCUAGUCUACUUACAAUUCUUGGAAAAAGGAAUACUCACAUCUCAAACAACAGCCAGCUCAUCUGCGCUGUCCUGCAGAAUUCUAGAAAGUUAGGUGGCAAUGUUAAUAACAUUUCAAAAUUGACUGCUGCGAUAACUAAUUCGAUGGCUUACUACAUGGUCAACGUUUGGAUCCCUUCCUGCCGGCACUGUCCUUUUUGGAUGCACAUUUUUUUUCUCUAGGUAAUAUAAUCACCCAACUCAUUUCUUUACAAAUGCACCUUUAAUCACCACCAAAAGGUGUGGACAUGAUCUUUACCCUAGAAAACUAUUCACCGACAGGCAAAUUGACGUCAGAAAUACUAAGAGGAAUUCUAGUUUCCUUCGGGUUAAUGCCAUUUUGUACCCUUCAACUGUAACUCGAUUUCUAAGCUGUAAUUUGUGACAUUAUAGUCCUUAAACUAUGAAACCCUUCUUACUUAAGUAUAAUGGUUAAUACAAUACUGGUGAUUAGACAAGUAUGAAGCAACCAUAACAAAAAAAAAUCCAAAAUUAGAGAAAAGAAAGAUGUUUCGCGACCAAAGUAUGUAUCAAGGCAUAGUAUAGAAAUAAAAGUGUCAAAAUUAAGAGUUUAGGGAUAAAAAAGAAUCAAGAUAUAGUUUAGGGAUUGAUUUGUCUCAAUUAGAGCUUAGGUGUCAACUAAGAAGAGAGAUAUAGUUGAAGGGUAGAAUAUAGAUAUAAAGGUUCAAUGAUUGAUAUCAGUGAGACAAUGAUAACUUUGGAUUAUUACCAACCUCUUCUGGAUGGGAAAAGGAAAUAGAGAAGAAAGUCGGGCCUGGUCUAAGCCUGUUUCGGAGGCAAAACAACAUUAUGAAAUCACCGGCAUUCAGACAAAUAUGUCAAAGUCACCGGCAUGCUAAGUUGCAAAAUUUAUACAAACACUUAAUAUUAUAUUGUUCUUAAAAUUUUUGUUUAAGAUUUAACAAUUAGAGCACGGUACACGAAUUAGAAAUAUUAAAUAAUGAAUGUUCACGAUUGAUAAAGUUAUCAAAGUACAGUUUGAGGACAACCCAUUCCAACGUGUACAAGAUGUUUAGCCUUUGAAAAGUUAAUUAGAGAAGGUGACGAGAUUUUACGAGGCUGACAUCAUCUAGGCCUCGAGAGUAAAAAAUGAAGACACUGAGCGCUAUAAAAAGAGGGCUAGAUGUUGCCUAGAAGCAUAUCAGCCUCAGACCACGUUUUGUAGCAAUGGGGAGCAAAGCAAAAGCAAUGGGGUCUAGGCUGACUCCUCUUCUUACCACCGUUUUAGUGGUAUUUCUUGCUCUUGGCUUGCCUUCAGAAACUGCAGCUGAUUACUACAAGUAUUCAUCUCCUCCUCCUCCUUACCAUUAUUCCUCACCACCACCUCCUAUGCAUUCACCCCCACCACCGCCAGUUUAUAAGUCACCCCCACCACCUUACCACUACUCCUCACCGCCACCUCCAGUGUAUUCAUUUCCACCACCUUUGCCAAUAUACAAGUCUCCGCCACCACCUUACCAUUAUUCCUCACCACCACCCCCAGUGCAUUCACCCCCACCACCACCAGUUUACAAGUCUCCCCCACCACCUUACCAGUAUUCCUCACCACCACCUCCGGUGCAUUCACCACCACCUCCUCCAGUUUACAAGUCCCCGCCACCACCUUACCAUUAUUCCUCACCACCACUUCCAGUGCAUUCACCUCCACCAUCACCGAUUUACAAGUCUCCACCACCACCUUACCAAUAUUCCUCACCACCACCUCCACUGCAUUCACCUCCACCACCACCGAUUUACAAGUCACCUCUACCGCCUCUUCCAGUUUACAAGUCUCCGCCACCACCUUACCACUAUUCCUCACCACCACCUCCGGUGCAUUCACCUCCACCACCACCGGUUUACAAGUCACCUCCACCACCUCCUCCAGUUUACAAGUCCCCGCCACCACCUUACCAUUAUUCCUCACCACCACCUCCGGUGCAUUCACCUCCACCACCACCGGUUUACAAGUCACCUCCACCACCACCUCCAGUUUACAAGUCCCCGCCACCACCUUACCAUUAUUCCUCACCACCAACUCCAGUGCAUUCACCCCCAUCACCACCAGUUUACAAGUCUCCGCCACCACCUUACCAUUAUUCCUCACCACCAUCUCCGGUAAAUUCACCUCCACCACCACCGGUUUACAAGUCACCUCCACCACCUCUUCCAAUUUACAAGUCCCCGCCACCACCUUACCACUAUUCCUCACCACCACCUCCAGUGCAUUCACCCCUACCACCACCUGAUAGGGUAUAAUUUGUUAGUAUUUUUAUUAUUAAUUUUCCCUUCUAUCCCUGACAAAUAUUGUGUUAAUUGCUGAUAUUUACUCAUAUUUGGUAUUUGGAAUCAAUUUCAGGAAUGAAGCAGAAAACUACCAAAAAGGAGGGACUUUGUGAAAAAUAUGGAGACUUCUAAGGGCUUCAAUCCUUGGGCCCUUGAAUUGGUGGGGGACCACAAGCUAGUGAAAGGCAUUUGGUCAUUUGGGCUUCAAAGAAAGCAACGUAGAGAGACUUGGAACAAGAAGUACUUGGGAGGCUUUGUCCACAUGUGUGGGGACCACCUAGAUAGCUUUUAGUCAUCUUUCUUUUGUUGCUUUAAAAGGGGACAACGUACAGAAGCAAAAGAUAUCUAGGGCUUUAGUUUUAGUUUUUAGUUUAGUUCUAGUUUUCUUUCUUUGGACUGGCCUCUGACACACGCCAGGUAUUCGACAAUAUUCCCCAACGGGGAGAUUUUCUCAUGAGGCGUGGUUAAGCUUUUCAAGGGGACACUGACGAUUUGGUUCAAUUUACUGUGAGAUCGAAUCUGUUUUAUUUUUUUCUUCAUUUUGGUUUUUAUAUGUUCCUUGAUUUUAAUUGCUAUGGCCUUGUGUAUGAUUGAUUAGUGCACAAUAAUUAAUUAUUCAUAUAGGCUAUUUUUGCUAAAUAGGGGUAAUUGAAUCCGUAAUUGUUCGUUAUCUCUACCUCAGUAGCAACUGGCGUAAUUGGGUUUAUGUCAGGGGAGCAUAUGAUCUAAUUUAAACAAACCCUCGUAGCGUAUUUGUUGGUUAGGAUUGGGCCUUUCUAAUUAUUAUGCAAUCUAGAAAUUAAAUCCUACGGUCGUACCUAGGGUUAUUUUUGGGUUAGAGAAAUAGCUAACGGUCGUACCUUAGCUAUCGAGAAAUUAAGGAAGGGUUGGUUGUUUAUCGCGUGCAUGACAACUAUAACUAAUCUAUUGCUAAAUGUUGGAAUUAUUUCUGCAUCAAUGAUCAGUGCCUGAACCAUUUCUGAAGUGUACCCUUGGCUAGAGUUUCUCUUAAUUAUUUCUUUUAAUCAAUUAUUUUCUGCACUUGAUUUAUUUAGUUAGCAUUUAAUCCAAGAACCUCCCAUACUCUGGACUCUAGAAGAAACGAAUUAUCCCCAAUCCCUGUGGAUUCGACCCUGCUCGCCGCUAUAUACAAAAUCUGUAUUUUUCUUGAGUAGGUAAUUAUUAUUGCACAGGUUCGGCACCUGUCACCACCAGUUUACAAGUCUCCGCCACCACCUUACCAUUAUUCCCCACUACCACCUCAAACGCAUUCACUCCCACCACCAGUUUACAAGUCACCGCCACCACGUUCUCCAGUAUACAAAUCACCUCCACCACCUCCUCUAGUUUACAAAUCUCCACCACCAUCAAUUGAUAAAUACAAGUCUCCUCCAGUGUACAAGUCAUCUCCACCACCUGCUUACAAGUCUCCACCUCCUUCAGUUUACAGUUCCCCACCACCACCAAUCUACAAGUCUCCACCUCCACCCUACCAUUACUACUACAAUUCUCCUUCUCCUCCUCCUCCUUCUCACUACUAAGCAGUUGUAUCCAAGUUUUUGAGGUAAUAACGCUUAACCAAUAAAUUAACUUUCGCAUGAUAAACCUUAUCCCUAUCAAGACAAACUGCCAUGUGUAUCAUGGCAAAUCCGUACACUUAGAUCCAUGAAAAUGAGUGGUAGAAGGUUUUCUUAAGAACCAAGGAACAGCAAUAGUAUUCCCACUGCUUCCAAAAACUUGUGUAUUAAAUAGAUUAACGAAUUGUUUAACAUGCUUAUCUACUUGAAAAUGCACAAUACCCAUAACCCAUUGAAAUUUUUGCAGGAAAAGGGGAAGAGAAUCUGUGUUUGAGAGCUUCAUGAAGAUGUUGAAGAAUAAGAAUAAAAGCCCAAUGCGAGGAUGUUUUCAAGUUUUUCUAUGUUUCCACUUUAAUUUGUAAAUUGAAUUUUGCGACUCAAUUAAUUCCCUGUUUGUGGGGUACAUAUUGUUUUACGUACCAUGCCGUACAUGUUUGUAAGGAUUUCUAUCCUAUUGGCAAAAGUCGGUUCCAUACAAUUAAUCAAUUCAUUUCACUUCUAUUGGCUCUACUAUUUAUGCAUGUUACGACAUUUUUUCUCUCUUUCCCUUAUAUUUUGCCUUUAAUAUUAUUGAGUCAAUAGUAAAAUUAUACUAUUAUAAAUAGGUAGUUUGGUCUAACGCUAAAUUCAUGUUUGUCUUUCUUUUAUUCCCUUUACAUCUCAAAGUAUACCAUAGUUUGUGAUCAUUGUGGUGAUGAUACACUACAACAAAAAUGGCCUUUCCUGACAUGUCUAUAAGGACACUUGCUGGUUUUUGUCAUUAUAGCACUUCUAUCAUGACAUUUGUUAUCAAUUCACUAAUUUAUACUUUUUUUUAUUUUAUCUGAUAUAAAAAUAAUAAUGUGUCUUUAGAUUUCCUAUCAUGGCAUUUUAGAAAAUGUGAGAUACAACGAAAAAAUUAAAACAUAAAACGAUGUCGUUUGAUUUUGACGGAAGAUUCAUUUGCCAAAACACUUAGUGAAAUCUCAAAACUUUCAUUGUGUCGAUUCUUCUCCUCUCUCUCACAAACCCUCUCUCUCGGCAGACUAUCUCUCAAAACUCCCCCAUUUUGGUUCUUUUGUCUUCCGCCUUCGCCGCCGCCCCACUCCUCCAUUUUCGGUUGCUAACUUGGCCGCUUCUCUGCCCUAUUCGGUCAACCACGACACCUACACCAAUAAGUCUUCGCUCUCUUUGCUAGGACAAAAGGAAUAAAAAAACAGAUACUCAUGUUCUUUCCUUUUUCUUCUUUCCUCUGAAACCGAUCCCCAUGCUUCUCCGUACUGACUAGAUAUUCAGGUUGAGCGUGUUGAGGAGUAGAGUAGGCGAAGGUUGCCGCCAUCGUCUCAUUGAAGUCCAGCCACUACAGCGGAAAUCAUCACUGUAAAGUUUCCCGUACUCUUAUACCUUUUUUCCCCCUUAAUUGUAUUGUUUUCUUCUUUGUCUGCAAUCAUGUCGGUUAUGCUUUACUUUCGUCUUGUUAAUCGAUUUUAAGUGGCUGGAAUUGAUCAUAGGUUUGAGUAGAGUUUUAGAUUUAAAAUUCAAGCUCAGGCCGUAUAAGGAACUGAUGAAAAAGAAAUUUCAAAACUUUUCAUCCUCACUACUUGUUUGUCGGAAGGUUCGAAUGAAGAAAGAAGGAAAUUUGCAAUGGAAGUGAACAGAGAGAGAUGAAAGUGAUUGGAGAGUGAAAUUUUGCCUUGGUGAACUUUUCUUUUGUUUUUGAUCAUCAAGUGCAAUAGAAAAGUACAUUUAGUACAAUUUCCUAACUAUCUUAGAGGAAAUCUUGUUUGGAACUUUCGCUGGAUGCUAUGCAACUUAUUUUUGAUGCUUUGGUCAUGAUUGUUGUUCUGUUUGCUACAGCCCCAUAAGAAGGUUUUUUUUUAAUUAUUAUUAAAAAUUACCGCAUAGCUUGGAUACUUUUGCAUUCCAUGCACCAUGUCAGCUAUUCAUAGCACAUAGCACUAAAGUAGAGCACUCUGUAAUUUUGGAGAUGUUUCAUCUACGCAUUCAAUUAUUUCGAGUUUUUAGUCCAAUGGGUAAUAAAUUGGUUGUACAUCACUUAUUAUGUUGCAUCCCAGUUAUAUUGACCUAGAACAAUUACCAUAUAGACAAAAAGAAGAUAUUAACUGCAGCAAAUUGAAGAAUAAAAAGAGUAUUUGUCAAAUCUUUUCUCCCAACAUCCCUCGUAAUUCUUUCCCCCAACCUCAACUUAGGCACACAUUGUGUCUCUCCUUUUCUUCUUCAAACUAAAUGUUCUUCUCAUGGACAAAUAAGAAUAAUUUGAAUUUAUGAGGAUACAGAGGAAGAGAAUGAAGAUGGAGAAGUUAAUUGUUAUAACUCCAGUUAUGAUAAAGUUGAAGAUGACUUUACAUAAGAUGGAUUAAGUGACUAGUGCUCUAUUGUAAGAUGCUGGGUGCAUAUCUUAAUUUCUUUGAAUUGACUUUAUAUCUCAAAAAAAAAAAAAAUUGAAGGGAUUCUAUAUUUAUUUGACUUGUGUGGUAUUUAUUUGUGUGACUGUCUUGUUUUUUGUCUGCUUUUAUGAUCUAGAGCAUUGAUUACUCUAUAUUUUUAGACAAGAAUAUAUUGUUUUUGUUGUAGAAUUUCUGUAGAAAAAAUACAGAUCUUGCACAUUAAACCCAAUGGGGACUGUUUGCACUAUAAUGCAUUAUGGGCAACUAACAAAUUGGGAUUUGCUAGCCAUUCAAUAUUUUGUAAAUCCUCUGCAGUGUAACAUACUGGAAAUUGCCUUUCAGUUACAGUCUCCAGCGAAGUGUCCUGAUUUAGUCUUUCAAGUUGGAAUGUGACUAAUAGUUUCUUAUCUUUUAAAAGUUUGCCAAUUUCAGGAGGAUUGGUUACAUAGUUUUUUAAGAUUUCUUUCCUCCAGUGGGCACUUAAAAAAAUAGUGAUUAUUGAGUGCUUUGAUCUGUUGAAAUUUAAUUGAAAAUUUUCCGAUCAUUAAUUGACACACUUCAAAAUACUAAUGACUACAUAUGUCAAAGCACAACCUAGGAAAUUAUAUCAGCACGUGCUCCGAUUGUAUGGUACUAAACUUGCAGUGCUUCCACAAAGAAUGUGAAGAGCACAUAUAUACUGAUCAUUGAAAAGAUAGAUUUCUAUUAUGAUUCUGCUAAUGUUUGAAGCACUAAAUGUGAAAUUGCUAUCUAUUUUGAAUGAGUAUCUGUUUCUAUGAAAACUUUGGACAAAUAUGCAUAUGACAAUAGUUUCUAAUGAAGUUACAAACGAUGCUGAACCUUUGGCAUUAUACCAAGAAGGUGUUAAUCAAGUUAACUGGUUACACUUCUAAGCCCUUGCCUGUGGGCAGAAUCUGAGCUAGCUUUAUUCAUUUGUAGCAAGAAGUAAUUUUGCAUGCCAAUGCCAUGCAUUGUUGACUAACCUGUCGCAUUCAGUGUUUGGACAGGUGGGAGUAUAUUGGCGGCACUUGGUUCCUUUCAGCAAAUUUGGUUUUCAAAAUCUGAGUAAGCUUUUACAUCUACUCUACCUUUCAAUAUUCAACUUUUCUUCUUUUUUUCUCCCCAUUUUCAGUCUGUUUUAUCUCUCGAUUAAUAGGUUUGAGGAACAUGGAACUUCUUAUGUUCAAAGAAAAUGCCCGUAAAGUACUUUACUGGUGCGGACAAUUAUCACAUUAGACAGAAAUUCAUGGAGCUGACUUCACUUUGAUUAGUUCGCUGACGGUAUGGGUUGCUCGGUUUUAAUAUCCUGCUUUAUAGGAGCCCAAGCAAUGUACUAUAUAUAUACUAUACCUCUCGCGGAUCGUUGCUAAUGUUGUACAAUUACGUUACCUGACUUUUAGCAUUUCUUUCAACUGGUUAGGGAUGAGAGUCUUUUUGUUUGUGCACAAGAAAGUCUUUCAAGUUAUUGUAAAUGAGAAUCUUUCGGUAAUUUUUUGGGAUUUUAGUACUUGCUUUGAGCAUUUGUUUGCGAUUUUAGUACUUGCUAUGUUUGUACUUGUUAUUGACUUUUAAUUCAAUGAAUUAUAUUUGAGUAUCGACUUCUUCUUUUAAAUUGCUAUAUGCAUUCUGCCUUUUGGGAUAAUUUUACAAGUCCCUUGGGAUUCUGGUUGAUGGAAUGUACAGCAGGGAGGACUAAUUACAGGUUGCUUCCAUAUGAAAAAAAAACAGGAAAAAACUCCUGGCAAUUAGAAGUGUCAGCAUAGCUUAGCUUCAAAAAACACUAAUGACAAAUGGGCAUGUCAUCCAAAGCAGUGUAAAUUCACAUGGCUACGUGUCCUUAAAGCCAUAUAUUAAGACAAUUCAAGAUGCCUUCAUAAAUUGGAUAUACUACUAAUCCGCUACUGAUGUUCUAAUGCUAUACGGACACUUUCGAUUAUCACAAAAAAAAGUUUUUGUUGGCAGAGGGAAUGCUAUAGCAGCAUGGUUUUCCUGACACAUUUGAAUGUUGCCAAAGAUUUGAGGCUAUCCCCACAUUGGAAGGGACAACACUCGCCCUAGGUGUGAGGAUAGAUAAAAUGUCAGGUUAGAUUAUCUAUACUGACACCUUUAAAUGCCGCUAAAGGCCAUUUUUGUUAUAGUGAUAUUACCGGCUGGUACAUAUAGUUUAAGGCAAAGACAUGAUAUUAACCUAUCUCAUUGAAACAUAAGGAAAAAUCAUGACAAGUGUGAGUCUUGGAUAAUGCACAAUUUGUAAGUGGAAUUUAUACUUAUAAAACUCAAAAAAAAAAUUUCACAAUGCUAUUACUAAUUAAUUAAGGACUUUAUUGCUAUAAUUUAUCGCUUACUAGUUUAAACUGUAAAUGAUCUCAAUAUUUUUCUCCGUGAUGUCGAUUUCUUUAGACUACGAAAGGGAAAAAUUAGUGACGUAUCCCCUACUUAGUUAUAAACUUUUCCAGUGGUUUUAAAUCCCUCGGGCUAAGGACGUACACUUGAUCCAUGAAAAUGACUAGUAGAAGAUUUUUUUUAAGAAUCAAAGAAAUGCAUUAUUUUUUCGGUCUGUUUUCAAGAAUUUGAGCAGUAUACAGAUUAAAGAGUGUUUUUUUUUAAACUUGCUUAUCAACAUAGAAAUGCACAUAGCUGAAAGCCAACUGAAUAUUUGCAGGCAAAGGAGAAGGCAAUCGGUGUUUGAGACCGUCAAGAAGAUGUAGAAGAAUAAGAAUAAAAGCCCAAUGCGAGGAUGAUUCCAAGUUUCUACGUUACUAUUUCUACAUCUAAAUUGACUUUAGCUCCUGAGUUCCAUGUUUAUGGGGUUUGUACCGUUUUACGUACCAUGCAGUACAUGCUUGUAAGGUUUUCUGUCCUGUUGGCAAGCCGCAAGUCCAUAUAAUAAAUGAAUACUAUUUAUAUUACGACACUUUUCUCUCUUUCUCUUAUAUUUUGUCUUUAAUAUUGUUGAUCAUUUUUUUUAUCAAAAGUAUCAAAUGCUUAGGUAAUUUGGUCUAAUGCUAAUUGUUUUACUUUUAUUUUUCACCUACAUCCCUUUUCAACUCAAAGGAUGCUACAGUUUGUGAUCAUUGUUUAAGACCGAAGCAUGGUACUAAUAAAUAUCUCAUUGAAAGUCAAGGAAACUAACAUUAUGAAAAGUGUAAAUCUUGAUUUGAUGAAACUAUUUAUUCGUGGAAUUUAGAGAUACAAAACUCAAAUUGUGACGGUGUUGCUGCUAAAUUAUUAAGGACAUUAUCACCAUUAUUUUUCCCUCACUAGUUUCAUCUGCAAUGAUCUCAAUCUUUUUGUAUUGAUCGGUUGUAAUGAAUCGCGAUUGAUUGGUUGUAAUCCGCUUGUAUUGAUCCCACUAUUGUGGAUACUUCUACGCUCAACAAAAAAUAUAUAUAUUAAAGAAUUAGCAAUAUUUUUUAGAACAAGUUAAAUUUAUUCAUACAAAUUAGACAAAGAAGUAUUUUAAAGACCAUGAUGAAAUUAAUACUUCCAAGGUCUCUAUUAGGAAGACUUCCUUGCCUUGAGUUGCAGUUGCGUGCAGAUGUUUAUAUUUCAAAUUGAUGGUAUAGUAAAAAUGUUGAAUUUCUUUAUCCCCGUGACUUCAAAAAUAUGAACUCAAGAAAUUAACUUCUUAACCAGUAUGUCAUACAAGCUUCACAAGAAAUGUAUAACUUUGCAACUAGAGUCAAUAGAAAUCGUCACAUAAUUAUUAAUUUUACAUCGAAAUUAAGCCUGUAUGACAUACUGGUUCGAGGUUUGGCCACGCUACCUUCCUAUUGUUUAAAAAUUCUCACAUAAUCCCUUGUACUUUGGACUAAACUCGAAUGUGAAAAGAAACCAUCCAAGCUAGUUUGGGAUACACUUGUUGCACUUUGAACUAAACUUGAACGUGAAAGGAAAUCCCAAAACCAUAUUGGGCAUGAAUUCACACUUAAUAGACCCAAAAAAAGAUGGCGACUGGUGAUGGAGGUGAAAGGCAGUGGGGACUGGUGGAGAGAUUUGAGGAAUAGAAGCAGACGAAAAAGCAACAAAUUUUUGCCAAAAAACGGUGACUUUCAUGGUUAAUAUUGCUACUCUCUAAUUGUACUUGACCAAUACAACAGUGAAAUUGUAAUUUAUGCUGAAGAUGGAGUUUGAUACGUGAAGAGAAUUUUUUAUAAAUUUUAUUUUGACCCAUAAUGUUAUCUUUAGAUACAAAAAAUAUUUUAAAAUUUUGAUUUUGGCCCGGUUAACUUUUGGUAAACAAAAAAUGCUCAUGCUUAGUGACAGGUUGUCGAUGCCUGUGCAAAAAUAAAAAUAAAUCUAGUUGCCAAUUAAAAUAAUCAGAGCCCAAUUCUGAGUACUGGAGCAGGGACUCUAGGUGUGCAAUGGGUUACUUGAUUCACUCUAUUUCCGAAGAGUUUGCUUAACCCGAUAUACCAGAAUGGGAUUGCUUAUUCAAAAGGAAUUGUUGAUUUGUAAACAGGGCAAGUAGGGUCGUAUUCUCAGGUGGGCUGGCGGUGCGCGGUCAAUCGACGGAGAAAGAGAGGAAAGGACGCGGGUGGAGGUUUUUGGGUUUUGGCCAAGAGAAGAGGGAACGCAGGGAAAGAGAGAGAGAGGGGCGGUGCUCGGGAAGGUGAGCGGCGGACGACGGCUAGGAGGGAAAAGGAGGAGCGGCGUGCGAAGUUAGAGAGGAGGAGGGAGGCGGCAUACGAAGGAAAAAGAAAUCAAGGAAGAAGAAAGAAAGAAAAGAGGAAGAAAGAAAAGAAGAAGGAAAAAAAAUAGUUUUUGGGUUUUUUUUCAAUUUUUUUUUAUUUUUUUGAAUUUAAAUGUCAAAUUUUGAAUUUUUGAAAAAAAAAACUGAAGGUUAAAAAGGAAAAUAAUUUUAUUUUGCUAAAAAAAAAUUUUUAUUUUUUUAUUUUUUUUUGUUUUGGAUCGUCAAACACAGCGUGGGCACGCCAAAAUUAUAAAACGUCCACUGAUCUUGGGAGUCACUGACACGGCGUGGGCACGCCAAGAUUUCACUUCCUGCCAACGUCGCGAGAUGUUGAAAUUGUACUAACAUGGCGUGGGCACGCCAAGAUUGGUAAACAUCCACUGGCCUUGGGAGUCACUUUUUGAGUGUCCUCCUCGCGUGGGCAUGCCAAGAUUCUAUGUCCUGGUCACAUUGGAGAAAAAUAUGAAAAUUGACUAGUACCCAAAUGAAAAACGACAAAUCGAAAGAAUUGAACAACAAAAAAUAAUAAAGCUAAUAUUUGGGUUGCCUCCCAAAAAGCGCCUUUUUUAACGUUUUUUGUUAGACGUUGAACACCACUCUUCAAUUUGGAUGUAAUUCAAUUUUCCUUGUAAUCGGUGGUCCUACUCCGGGUUCCAAAUAAUCAUUGAGUGCAGCCUUCUUUCUUUAUUUUCUAUUCAUUUUCACCUCAUAAAUUGCUUUCAUUCCCUGAUAUUUGUUCGCAAGAAUUUUGAAUUUACCCCUACAACCAAACUCAAAAAAUUCUUGCACAAAGGAAUUAGUAGCAUGAAUAGCAAACACAGAAUGAGAGUUAACAGUAUGUUUUAUUGUAUUAAAAAUAUUAAAAUGGACUAUUUCUCCAUCGAAUUCCAUUGUGAGAGUACCCUUACUAACAUCAAUCUUAGUUUGGAUAGUACUCAAGAAUGGCCUUCCUAAUCUAAUGGAUGAUGGAUUUGGGACACUUUCAUCAUCCAUAUAAAGCACAUAAAAAUCAGCAGAAAAAAUUAAUCCAUCUACUUGCACUAAAACAUUCUCAACUACCCUAUCUGAAUAAGUAAAUAUACGAUUAGCCAAUUAAAUUAUUAUCCCUAUUUCUUUUAAAGAUCCUAAAUUUAGGGAAUCAUAAAUUGAUUUAGGCAUCACAUUAAUAGAAACUCCUAAAUCUAGCAUGGCAUUUUUUAGAUUAGAAUGUCCAAUCUUACAUGGGAUAGUAAACAUACCUAGAUUCCCGUAUUUAGGUGGUAGUUUCCUUUGUAAAAUUGCUGAAAUGUUCUCAUCUACCACAAUAUGCUUGUCCUCCCUCAAUUUCUUCUUGUUGACACACAAGUUUUUCAAGCAUUUAGCGUAUUUUGGCACUUAUUUGAUCGCGUCCAACAAAGGAAUAUUGAUUGCCACCUUGCGAAAAAUGACGGAAUUUUUAUAUCAAUGCAAGUUUAAAUUCGAUUUUAUACCCGUUGACUGCAAGUAUACAGGCCGAAAUUGUAAUGUAGGGUAUGUAUCGGGUCGAUCCCACGAGGAGCAAAUUAAACAAGUACUAAGCCCUUAUUUUUCUCUAUUAUUUAGACUCACAAUAAAUUUGAACAGAGAAAGUAUAUUGCUAAAAUUUACAAAUUUGAUAUACAAAUAUAAUUUAACAAAUGCUAAAUGCAAAAGAAGAAAUUUCACUCAAGGAAGAAUUUAGGGAUGUAGAUUCCACUUAUGGCAUAAACAACACAAAUGAAUGGAUUUACCUCUUAUUAUUAUUCUUGUUUAACUAGGGAUUCAUUUCCAAAAUUAUCAAGUCUCAUUUUCAUGAUGAAAUGGCCUAGACCAAUAUAGUUUUCCCUAUUUUCAUGGUGAAAUACUACUACUACUCUGUUUUAUUUCAUGAAAUGCUGAAUAAUCCACCUAAGUGUAUCUCUAUUUUCAUGAACAUACAACUUAAGCUCUACUCAUUUAUUUCCAUUGUUACUACCAAUUCUCAUUGAAUAAUAACAACUAUAAACAUACUAUUGGUGAUCAAUCAAUAACAAGUAAUCACAACUACACAAGUAAACAAGUUAAUACAAAAUAUAACAAGUGUAAAUCACAUUCAAGUCAUAUUAUUUAGCCAUAAGUUUCAUCUACUUCCUAGAUAAAGAAAAUUAGCUACUCAUGAAUGAUUUAACAAUCAAACUCACAAGUUUAUUAAUGCAAAAUAUCAUAAAGUACAAGUACAAGAAAGAUAAAAGAAAUCUUAGCCAAUUGAUGGUGAAUCCCUCCAAUUUCUGCUAUGUUCUUGUACAAGAUGAUUACAACUGAAAACUCCAAAUGCUUCUCUAAGGACUCCUAGCUAGAGAGAAAAUGUUACAAGAAGGAAAAACUAGCUACGUAUGGUCCUGUCCUGCUUCUCCCCUGUGUUUUUGCAUAAAAGGUAGUAGAAAGUCUAUUUUCCUCUUCAUAAUUUCCUCCAUUCAGAUUUUGUAAAAAGAAGUCAAAGAUAUGAUGUUUCCUUUUUUCUACAACUCAUUUGGUCUUCUCUUUUGUUGCAGAAGCAUGUGCCACCGAUUUCUAUCCCUCAAAAUAGUUGAAAAAAUUGUGAGAAAGGUAAAGAAAAACAGCUGUGUCACUUGCUGAGCAGAGAGACAAAUCCGAGCCUCGGAUCCGGGGGUGAAACUGGAUCCGAGGACUUCCCAAGGUGGAUCCGAGGUCGGAUCGUUCUGACCUUGGAUACACUCCUCCAAAAGUACAUACGAGGGCUCGGAUCCCUCUUGUUCACACGGAUCCGAGCUCGAAUCCGUGUUGAUUAAAUUUUCAGUUUUUCACUUCUUUCCUUUUUCUACAUUUUUGCUCCCAAUUUCUUUUGUACUUUGUCCUCUGGAUGAUCCUUGCAUUUCUUUCAACUUCGUGCACGAAUUUCAUACAUCAAUAACCUUCACAAUUUCACAAAAUUAACUCAUUAAUCCACUCAUUUAUCAAGUUUUGAACACUUAAACAAUAUUUUAAGUAAUUAUCACUAAAAGAGUUCAAAUAUGGCUUUAAUCUUCUCAAAACAUGCCAAAGAUUCAUGCCAAAUCUGUACAAAAUGUACGUUAAAUAUUCACUUAUCAAAAAACCUCUAAAAUCUCCUUUUCUUUAUCUUGCUUCUUUGAUUUCUCUAACCUGCUCGGAAAAGGCGGUAAGUUAGUUCCAACUCUAAUUAUAGAAUCAGGAAUUAUCUUUGGAUUCGCAUUUCUCAUUCCUUCCUCCUCAAGCUCUUUGUCAAUUCAAUCUUCAUUUUUAUCUUUCGGAAUCACAAGUUCGGAUCUCUGAAUUUUCUUCCCGUUCCUUAAGAUCAUUGCACUUACAUUUUUCAGGUUCAGUUCAGGUUGAGACGGUAAUUUUUCAUAAACUUGGGAUUCCAGGCGGUUGAUUGCUAUUGCCAUCUAACUCAUCUGAUUCUGCAUUACUUGCAUCUGUCCCAAUUGAUUUUUCAUACUUUGUAGGUCAGAAUCCAUUUUUUGUUGAUUAGCAAUUAAUUGCUUCAUCAUCUCUUCUAUAGACAGACUUGAGUUUGAAGGAGGUGGUGGCGGGCGAGACUGAUACUGUUAUUGAUACCCUUGCUGUCUAUUUGGUGUAAAAUCUGGCUGCCUAUUUCCUCCAUAGUUGAGGUUGGAAUGAUCUCUCCAACCAGGAUUGUAUGUAUUCGUGUACGGGUCGUAUGGCUUUCUUAGCACGGGCGCGUAACCAGCCAUGUUCACUUGCUCCGUACUUUUCUCUUGAAUCAUUGAGCACAUCUCUGUAGAAUGACCCAUAGCAGUGCAGAUCCCACACAAUUUGGCUCGUGAUGUAUUUCCUAUAGCUAAUUGCCUAACAAAGGAUGUUAAUUCGGUCAACUGCUAUUGGAUGGAAUAUGUCUCUACCUCAUUUACUUUGCGUGUCGGGACAUCUUCCCUCGUAUCAAACUGUUACGAAUUCUCCGUCAUUCCUUCAAUUAGCUCCUACGCUUCUCAAGAAAUUUUGUUCACCAAUGCCCCUUCACUUGCAGCAUCAAUUAUACUCCUGUCUCUAAAAAACAGCCCCUCGUAAAAAUAUUGGAUGAGCAAUUACUCACUUAUUUGGUGUUGAGGGAACUUGAUGCAUAACUUCUUGAAUCACUCCCAAUAAUCAUAAAGCGACUCUUCUAGAUACUGCUUGAUACCGCAUAUCUCCUUCCUUAGGCUUGCAGCUCGAGACGCAAGAAAAUAUUUGUUCAAAAACUUUUUCUUCAACUGAUCCCACGUGGUGAUGCUACUUGGUGGUAAGUAGUACAGUCAGUCUUUUGCGGAGUCCUUCAAGGAGAAGCAGAAUGCUCUCAUUUUUAUCUGUUCUUCUGUAAUUUCCGGAGGUUUCAUACUGUUGCAAACGACAUCAAACUCUUGCAAAUACUUAUACGGUUCCUCACCUGCUAAAUCAUAAAAAGAUGACAAGAGAUGAAUUAGACCAGAUUUUAACUCAAAUGGAGUGGUUAUCAUUUAAAUAUGGAAAAGUAAUACAUAAGGGCUGCUGUUUUAAAUCAGGAGCAGCAAACUCCCUUAGUAUCCGUGCAUUAGCCAUAGUGACUUCUUCUCGAUCCGAGUCACUAGAAGUAUCACUAUGUGAAUCUGUUAGUUCAACUUCUGGCUUAGGUCUUUGAGAUGAAGCACUGGAGUGCUCUUCUCUAAGUUGUCCGGUCUCUUUCCUUAUUUUAUGCGCAGUCUUCUCUACCUCGGGGUCAAAAAUUAAUUCACCUGUAUGAGAAGAAUGAGGCAUAUACUAGGAAAGCACUAGAAAAUUAGAACAAAAAUGAACCUAAAAAGAAACAAAUAAACCAACACCAGUCCCUGACAACGGCGCUAAAAAUUGACAGGUUAUCGAUGCCUGUGCAAUAAUAAAAAUAAACCUAGUUGCCAAUUAAAAUAAUCAGAGCCCAAUUCUGAGUACUGGAGCAGGGACUAUAGGUGUGUAAUGGGUUACUUGAUUCACCCUAUUCCCGAAGAGUUUGCUUAACCCGAUAUACCAGAAUGAGAUUGCUUAUUCAAAAUGAAUUGUUGAUUUGUAAACAGGGCAAGUAGGGUCGUAUCCUCAGGGAUUGGAAAAAAUUUGUUUCUUUUCAAAUCCACAGUAACAAGGAGGUGUUUUUGUAUAAACGAUAACAAUCUAAGGAGUGCAAAUAGAAAUAAAUAGAUAACUAGAAAUUAAAUGACAAUUCACUAAAAUUAGAAUAAUAAUAAUUAAAGGUCUAGCCAAGAAAUAAUUUCAGCAAUGGUUCACCUAAUUGAUCAUCGACGCAAAGGCAAUUCCAAUUAUUUACUAAUAAAUAGAUUAUAACUGUCAAACAAGUGAUGAUAGUCAACCCCUCCUUACUGUAUCAGUGAUUAAGGUAUGUCCGUUAAUCACUGCUAUAAUUGAGAAAUAAUCUUAGGUACGUCCGUAAGAUUUAAUUCCCCAAUUGCCUUACGUAUUAGAGGAGCCCUAUUCUAACCAAAUAACGCACUAUCAGGAUUAUUUUAAAUUAGCCCAUGUAUUCCCUUGAUACAAACCCAAUCAUGCCAGUUGUCACUAUUUCAAGGCAAUGAAACAAUUACGGAUUUAAUGCCCUAAUUGACUAUAGGUUACUAAAUCAAUUCACUAUCUCGAUCCAAGAUAAUCAAUCAAUUUAACAACUAAUAGCACUGCAAUCGGAGAAUAUGUAAAUACCAAUAAAUAAGAGGAAAAGAUAAAAUUAAAUCGAUCUCACAAUUUUUAGACAAACCAAAGCAUCAGUUAUUUCUUGACUAGAAAAGAAAAUUUAGUUCAUUCCUAAUGCGAAAGACCCACGCGAGAAUUCAAAAAUAAUAUUCACGGACAUCGUCUUGAUCCAGUAGAUUCAAUUGCGUUGGAAUAAGGAUAAAAAACCAAACUACAGAGAGUGAUUCAUUGUUUUGUUUCGUCUGCACUUUUUCUACACAUACGGAAGAAGAAAAACAACUAAAGGAUGAAAAAAGAAAAGUCAAAGAAAGCCACCCAAAGUAGUGCUUGGUCUCUACCAUCCUAUUUCCUAUCUAAUUACUACUUCCCUUCUGCGGCUGCCUAGAGGAAGAAAGAAAAGGAGACUCCAGGUCUUGUUCCAUCUCCUCCCUUUUCGGCAAUUCCCCAAAAGUAGAAAAGUUCCUCCGUUUACCAAAAUGCCCCUGGAAUGAGGACCGCUACUUGAACUCAUUUCCUGAUGACUGUCAAAUUGACACUUGUUAUGGUAUUUGCGUUCCACUCCCUGUAAUAAAUGCAAAUUGUCAAAAGUGAGUAAAAUUUGACAAUUAAUUUAAAUCGGGUCAGGUAAUAGGGGAAAUUAAUUAUAAAAUAAAUGAUAAAAUUGUAACCUAUCACUUAGAAUAACUAGAAAUAAAACAAAACAAGAAAUGAAAGAAAUAAGAGGGGUAGCAUAGACAUUUUGGAUUUUUCUGUUAAUUUGGAUGAUUUCCACCCACGGUCUAAUUUAAUCCAAAACACAAAUGGAUUAUGUGGAGGUUUUUAAACAAUGAGGGAGUAUCAUGAUCGAAUUCUAAAACACAAAGGGGAUUUACUAUAUUUUACUCUUAAAUUUUGGUUUCAUCUCAUAGCAUACAAGAGUACUAUUUCACUGUCUGUCGACAAAGAUUUUCUAUGGUUGAUGUACCAUAGGAAAAAUCUGCCUAUACCAUCAUUUGGAAAAAUUAUCAAUCCAAACAUAGCCACCAUAGCAUUUUUUCAAAAACACAAGAUGGAAAAUUGUCCCCUUAAACGUUGAAAUUCAUGAUCUUUCCUCGACCUAGUCUACUUGUCAAUUCUUGAAAAAAGAAUAGUCACGCCUAAAACACGGCCUCUUCAUCUGCAGAAUUCUAAAAAGUUAGGUAAACUCUAUAAACAAGUUGAUAGGUACAAUCGUACCCAAGAUCAAGUACAGGUAUUUGUACAUUCACUGCUGCAAUAACUAAUCUGAUGACUUACAAACACAUCAUGGUCAAUCGUUGAAUGGUAAUGAGUCUUUUGUUAUGCAUUAGUAUUAGUGUGUACACUCUAAUAGAUUGAUACUUAUACACUUUAAAUUAUCAUAAUAAUACCCUUAAUUAACUUUAACUCUUAAAAAGAAUACGUGUUAAUACACGAGAGUGUGUAAUAGAACGGCAAGCAUUAUGGUGGUCAUUGAGCAACUUAUAGGAGAAAUAGUCCUAUAAGCUGUUCAAUGACCAAUCACAACUUGCUAAUUGGAUGACUAAUAUAGCUCUAGCUGUAAUGUUUUAAUUAAAUUCCAUCACUAACGUUGGGAUGACUUUUUAACCAAAAAAAAAAGCCUUAGUUCAAGCUCUUCCCUUUAUUGUGCAUUUUUUAAAACAUUUGAUAGGCACUGCAAAUCUGUCAUUUUGGACAUUUUAUUAUUAACUAACCAUGAAAGCCGUGGACAUCAACCCAUAUCCAACAGAAUAUUAAAUUAAUAUUAGAAAAAAUUAUUAAGUAAUUGGAAAAAAAAAAGAAGAGACUAAUUUUCAUUGAAACCCACCGACAAACUAUACGUGUCCAUAGCUUUUGAUUAGUGCAUUCAACGUUUAAUUGUAUAGUCCAGUUCAUAGCCGAUUACAUGGAGUAAAGAUUGUGCUCUUUCCUUUUUCACCCCUUUUGGAAUCGAUACUGUGGAGAAUUGGGUUUUUCCCUCCUUUUUUUCUUUUCUUUCCUUCUGUGCUUUGCAAAACAUAGGUAAAAAUAUGAAAUCCGAAGCAUUCUUUAAUUGGGAUUAAGUAUUGUUCUUGAAAUUAAAAAGAAGAAAGAAAGAACAACAAAAAUCCCAAUCUGGGUUGAUUGUUGAGCUCUAGUUUGGCGGCAUCGUGCUUCCAUAGAAGUUCUCUUAGUGUGAUACGCUGCUUUCAAUCAGUUUAACACGGGAAAAAGAAAAGACAUGAAAAGCAAAUUUUGUGGGGAUAAUUUCAGAAAUCUCUCCUGAAGUUUUUUACUAUUUUACUGGCCUCCUUUCAAAUUUUAAAAAUUACACUAGUCUUCCUUGAGAUUAUUUAUCUUGUAACAUUUAGGUCCAAUCAAUAAUUAAAAGAUGAUAUUAUGAGAGAGAAAAAAAUAUGAUUUUAUCAUUGCCCCCAUCUUACUACAUUAUUGAAUUAAUUUAAUAGCAACCCACACAUUAAAGAAAAAUACUAAUAUUUGCUGUUUUUCAUUGAAGAUCAAAUCACAUGUGCCAUAAAAUAUAGUAUAUCAUUUUAUAUAUUUCACUUAAUGUAAGAUCCAAAUUAUUCUUUUCAAUUACAAAUCCAUUGUUAUUAUAAAAAAAAAAAUAAACUUUAACAUCAUAAAUAUUCUUAUCAAAAUAUUAAAGUUAGUUACUAAAAUUUUUAUGGUGUUAAAGUUCACUCUUUGUAAUAUUUAUGGGUUUGUAAUUGAAAAGAAUAAUUUGGAUCUUACAUUAAGUGAAAUAUAUAGAAUGAUAUACUAUUUUUUAUGGCAUAUGUGAUUCAAUCCUUGAUGAUAAAAAGCAAAUUCAAGUGUUUUCUUUAAUGUUUGUGCUGAUAUUAGAUUAAUUAAAUAAUUUAGUAGAUGAAAGAAAAUAGUGAAAUCAUAUUAUUUUUUCUUUCCUAAUAUCACUUUUUAAUUAUUGGUUGAACUUAGAUAUUACAAAAUAAUAAAUCUCAAGGGAGAUUAGUAUAAUUUUCAAAAUUUGGAGAGAAGCUAAUGAAAUAAUCAAAAACCUUAAGGGAGGUUUACAGAAUUAUCCCAAUUAUGUGGGAAUUAGAAUAAUUGUACUGGACGGCACUGCUGCAAUAGAGGGAAAGAGGAGAAGGUGCAGUUAACUUUUGUUGUUUGAAAUCCUUGGCGAAAUAUUACAGAAAGACAGAUAAAACGGUGGUUAGUACAUAAAUGUUUAUGACAGGGAAAAUGGUACGUCUGUUAAUCACAUUUGAAACAUUUUCAUUGGUGAAUGACCAAAAGUAUCAGGCUUGUCCAAUAGUUGAUCAUUGACCAAGAUAAAACCUGCCAUGGUAGAGCCGUAGAGGUACGAUCUUUUCGUACCUCUUAGUGCACAGGACAUUCCUUUGUUUCAUCUAGCUAAUAAUCUACCAACUCAUUUCUUCACAAAUGCACCUUUUAUGGUCACGUCUACGAAAGCCUUUACAGGAUCUUUACCCUAAAAAUCAAUUCACCGACUCCCAUUUGAUGUCAGAAAUUCUUCUACUUUACUCCAAGAUUGACUGUUAAUAAUAAUGAGACAAUGACCACUUUGAAUUAGGGGUGCGCAAAAUUAUCUGCUAAUCCGAAAAUCCGUCAUAUUCGAUCUGAUCCGAUCCAAAAAUUAGGAUAUUUGAUUUUUAUUAUUUGAUCGGAUCAAAAGAGGGUCGGGUAUCCGCUAAGAUACGGGGCGAGUUAGAGUCACAUAAUUAAAAAUUCGCGGGUAUCCGAUCCGCCCCGCAUAUAUAUAUUUUUUAUUUUUAUACACACUAUAAAAUAAUAAGUUAGAACCAAAUAAGUAAUUUUAUUGAACAAAUUGCAUUACAAAUAUGAGAGACUAUAGUUUAUUUACAAGAUUCAUUUGUAAAGGUCAUGAUCUUAUAUUUUAUAGAAAAAAGUUUAAUUAAUGUGGAACAUAUAUAUUAAAAAUUGUGCUACUUAUUUCAAACUUUUAUUGAUUUUGAUUUCUUUUAAUUUUUUUCCUUUAUCUUAUAUUCUCUUCAUAUGCUUGUUUCUUGGUGGGAAACCUUUUUUUAGAAAAAAAAAAUUAUUAAAUCUUAGAUGAAUGUGUAAAAUAUAAAAUUAAAUUAGUAUAAAUCAUUUUUUUAAAAAAAUUAAAUGAUAAACGGGACGGAACGGGUACCCGCUGAUCCGACCCUAUCUUAUCGGGUACCCGCUGAUAUGCGGGGCAGGUAAAAAUCAGAAAAUGACUGACCUGUAAGGUGCAGGUCGAAUCAAUCAAAUGGUGAAUGGGACGGGUAUACGACCCGCGCCAACACCUACUUUGAAUUAUCACACCAUCCUUCUUGAUAGGAUUGGUACUAGAGGUAGGGAGGGGAGUCGGCUGCAUCCGGUCUUCUUUUCAUAGAUGUCAUUCACGCAAUAUUAUAUUUCGAAGUCAUUGCAUGGCUAAGCUGCAAAAAAGUACGAACACUUGUUAUUAUAUAGCUUAAGAUUCAAAACGUUAGAGCAUAACCCUCCACCUAACACAAUUGAAUAAUGAAUAUUCACGAUUGUCAAAUCUGUCAAAGCACAGUUUGAGGACAACCCAUUCCAACCUGCAAAAGAUUUUUUACUUUUCUAAAGUUGUUGAGAGCUGUAAAAAGACUUACCAUGCUUACAUCUUCCGAGCCUUGGGAGUUAAAAAUGAAGGCACUGAGUGCUAUAAAAAGGGGGCUAGAGGCUGCCUAGAAGCAUAUCAGCCUAAAACAAGAAUUUGUAGUUAUGAUGGGAAGCAAAGCAAAAGCAAUGGGGUCUGGGCUGACUCCUCUUCUUACCACUCUUUUAGUGGUAUUUGUUGCUCUUGGCUUGCCCUCAGAAACUGCAGCUGAUGAUCACUACAAGUAUUCAUCUCCUCCUCCUCCUUACCACUAUCCCUCACCACCACCUCCAGAGCAUUUACCUCCACCAGUGUACAAAUACAAGUCCCCACCACCACCUCAUCAUGUUUACAAGUACAAAUCUCCACCACCCCCACCACCACACCCAGUUUACAAGUAUAAGUCGCCACCACCACCUCCUCAUCCGGUACCACACCCAGUUUACAAGUAUAAGUCACCACCACCACCUCCUCAUCCGGUACCACACCCAGUUUACAAGUAUAAGUCACCACCACCACCUCCUCAUCCGGUAUACAAGUAUAAGUCUCCUCCGCCACACCACACCCAGUUUACAAGUAUAAGUCACCACCACCACCUCCUCAUCCGGUACCACACCCAGUUUACAAGUAUAAGUCACCACCACCACCUCCUCAUCCGGUAUACAAGUAUAAGUCUCCUCCGCCACCACCACACCCAGUUUACAAGUAUAAGUCACCACCACCACCUCCUCAUCCGGUACCACACCCAGUUUACAAGUACAAGUCACCACCACCUCCUCCCCCAGUUUACAAAUACAAGUCUCCACCACCACCAGUUUACCACUACAAGUCACCACCACCUCCUCCCCCAGUUUACAAAUACAAGUCUCCACCACCUCCUCACCACUACUAAGCAAUUGCUUCUGAGGUAAUAACACUUGUUCAAUAUACCCACUUCUGCAUGAUAAAACAUAUCUCUAUCAACACAAACUGUCAUGUCUAUCAUGCUAAGUGCCUUCACUUCAUCCACCAAAAUGACUGCUAGAAAAUUUUUUUUAUGUUACCAAAGAAAGGCAUCAUUUUUUCCCUCUGUUAUCAAGAACUUGUACAGUAUAUAGAUUAAAGAGUUUUUUUUUAACUAGCUUAUCAACUUAGAAAUGCAUAUAGCUGAUAGCCAGCUGAAUAUUUGCAGGCACAGGAGAAGGAAACCAGUGUUUGAGAC